UGCCCUCACCAACUCCUGGUCCCACUGAGGCUGUGUGGGUUUCUGGGCUCAUUUAAAAGGGCAGAUAAACAAGCUUUCUUCCCUCCCUCUUGGAUAAAGGUUCCAAACAGGGCCUUAAGUAAUGCUUACAUA
rfam:Danio rerio chromosome 8, GRCz11 reference primary assembly.